GGGUGUUCCUUGAAGCCUGGGAUCCACACCGGCCCAGAAGUGUUAAGGGGACAAGUACCCUUAGUGAAGUCGGGGACAGGGACCCCGUGAACGAGUUAAAGCUAGAACAGGUUUAAUAACAUCAUAGCACUUUCUAGGAAAGUGAGUCAGACAGCUUCUAUCUAGAAAGAGCAACUUCCUUGCUCCAUCCAGGAGAAGAGAGUAAAGGAGUAGUCUCCUAACAGGCUUACUUGCCUUAGAUUGGGGACACAGAAGUGCCAGGGACAUUGGCCUGCAAUUAUCCCUGCCCAACGUCUUGAAGAGAAGGGAUAAACCGAGGGACACCAGAGUUGUGUGGGACUUGGACUCCCAUCUCAGCAAACCCAUUUUAUGGCCAAUAGUUCACUGACACAAGAAAUCUUCCCCAAAGAGAUGCCCAAUGUGGGCAAAAACUGAGAGCUUUCUGAAUAAUGGGUUUCCAGAUAACAUAUCCCAUACCUGCUUCUGUUAUCACUCUGCGGUGCUCAACGCAAAGUCCCCCGAGUUUUCUGCUACCAGGAGCACUGGCCAGGGGUAUCAGAGUUACAGUCCGCUCUUCCAAUCCGGCACAAGGAGCAGAGAGCAGCAUGAAGAGGCGCAGUCGAGCCUUGUCCUUACUACCUGCCUUGGGUCUGGAGAGCAGCCAUUCUACACAGACUCAGCGCAGAGUGCAAAACAAUGACCAUUUGAAGCCUUUUUUUUUGUAAUUUGCACACUGUGUAAAUUUAUAUAAAAUAUGAUAUAUAGCAUGAAAUGAUAUAAGAUGUAACACUACUGCACCCCUUGUGGCGUCUGUUCCCCAAUAUAAGACUAGAAAUGAAAUGUUGUAUUUUUAAUAUUGAACUUACUGUAGCAGCAGUGGUGUUCAGCAGCAGUGUAACAGUAAUGCUCGCUUUCACAGUUUUACACAGACACUCGCCAUUUUAGAUAUUGUUAGGCCACUUGAGUGUCAGUGGCACUGCACAUACUCAGUGAGCUCUGGGCUGCUAAAAUAGCUAAGCUUAGGUGUUGUAACAAAUCAAGCAGAAAAUGAGGUUCAUCUAACAUAGAAGCUAAUGCUGAAAGGCCAAUUGUUAGGCACCCCCAGUUAUUGUAUUCACUUAUUCCCCUAAUUCCCCUGGCCGCUGCUCCUGUUGGGAGAAAACUGCACCAGCCCAGGGUAUAUGCAAGCUAGCAAUCCUCUUCCUUCUGUCUUCUUUCUUCAGAAUCCCGUGGCCAACACAUGCGCAGCUGAGCGAAAAAAAUGGCUUUCUGUAAAGUCGGCUUUUCCCUCAACUGCACGAAGAUGGAAGAAAGAAGGGAUGCUCGCCCGCAUACACCCCAGCCAUUGCAGUUUUCUCCUAACAGGAGCACCGGCCGGGGGUUUCAGGGUGCCACAGCCAUGUGACCUGUGCUCUGAUAAACUUCAG